rnacentral:miRNA from 10 species
GAGAUUUAACGGUCUCAAUAGAUUUGCAGUGGAGACAAAACUAUCUAUUUUGAGAAAAAGUGUCUGAUAGACUGCCUACCAAUAGGGAGAAUUGCAUGCCUUGU